GGAUAACCUACCCUUAGGACUGGGAUAACCUUGGGAAACUGAGGCUAAUACCGGAUAGGCAAUUUUUCCUGGAAUGGUUUUUUGUUUAAAUGUUUUUUCGCCUAAGGAUGGGUCUGCGGCCGAUUAGGUAGUUGGUUAGGUAAUGGCUUACCAAGCCGUUGAUCGGUACGGGUUGUGAGAGCAAGAGCCCGGAGAUGGAACCUGAGACAAGGUUCCAGGCCCUACGGGGUGCAGCAGGCGCGAAACCUCCGCAAUGUGAGAAAUCGCGACGGGGGGAUCCCAAGUGCCAUUCUUAACGGGAUGGCUUUUCAUUAGUGUAAAGAGCUUUUGGAAUAAGAGCUGGGCAAGACCGGUGCCAGCCGCCGCGGUAACACCGGCAGCUCUAGUGGUAGCAAUUUUUAUUGGGCCUAAAGCGUCCGUAGCCGGUUUAAUAAGUCUCGGGUGAAAUCCUGUAGCUUAACUGU
rnacentral:rRNA from 1 species